GAUGAACGCUGGCGGCGUGCCUAAUACAUGCAAGUAGAACGCUGAAGGAAGGAGCUUGCUCUUUCCGGAUGAGUUGCGAACGGGUGAGUAACGCGUAGGUAACCUGCCUGGUAGCGGGGGAUAACUAUUGGAAACGAUAGCUAAUACCGCAUAACAGUAGAUGUUGCAUGAUAUCUACUUAAAAGGUGCAAUUGCACCACUACCAGAUGGACCUGCGUUGUAUUAGCUAGUUGGUGAGGUAACGGCUCACCAAGGCGACGAUACAUAGCCGACCUGAGAGGGUGAUCUGCCACACUGGGACUGAGACACGGCCCAGACUCCUACGGGAGGCAGCAGUAGGGAAUCUUCGGCAAUGGACGGAAGUCUGACCGAGCAACGCCGCGUGAGUGAAGAAGGUUUUCGGAUCGUAAAGCUCUGUUGUAAGAGAAGAACGAGUGUGAGAGUGGAAAGUUCACACUGUGACGGUAUCUUACCAGAAAGGGACGGCUAACUACGUG
rnacentral:rRNA from 1 species